GGUUAAGCGACUAAGCGUACACGGUGGAUGCCCUGGCAGUCAGAGGCGAUGAAGGACGUGCUAAUCUGCGAUAAGCGUCGGUAAGGUGAUAUGAACCGUUAUAACCGGCGAUUUCCGAAUGGGGAAACCCAGUGUGUUUCGACACACUAUCAUUAACUGAAUCCAUAGGUUAAUGAGGCGAACCGGGGAAAAACUAAGUACCCCGAGGAAAAGAAAUCAACCGAGAUUCCCCCAGUAGCGGCGAGCGAACGGGGAGGAGCCCAGAGCCUGAAUCAGUGUGUGUGUUAGUGGAAGCGUCUGGAAAGGCGCGCGAUACAGGGUGACAGCCCCGUACACAAAAAUGCACAUACUGUGAGCUCGAUGAGUAGGGCGGGACACGUGGUAUCCUGUCUGAAUAUGGGGGGACCAUCCUCCAAGGCUAAAUACUCCUGACUGACCGAUAGUGAACCAGUACCGUGAGGGAAAGGCGAAAAGAACCCCGGCGAGGGGAGUGAAAAAGAACCUGAAACCGUGUACGUACAAGCAGUGGGAGCACAGAGCAAUCUGUGUGACUGCGUACCUUUUGUAUAAUGGGUCAGCGACUUAUAUUCUGUAGCAAGGUUAACCGAAUAGGGGAGCCGAAGGGAAACCGAGUCUUAACUGGGCGUUAAGUUGCAGGGUAUAGACCCGAAACCCGGUGAUCUAGCCAUGGGCAGGUUGAAGGUUGGGUAACACUAACUGGAGGACCGAACCGACUAAUGUUGAAAAAUUAGCGGAUGACUUGUGGCUGGGGUGAAAGGCCAAUCAAACCGGGAGAUAGCUGGUUCUCCCCGAAAGCUAUUUAGGUAGCGCCUCGUGAAUUCAUCUCCGGGGGUAGAGCACUGUUUCGGCAAGGGGGUCAUCCCGACUUACCAACCCGAUGCAAACUGCGAAUACCGGAGAAUGUUAUCACGGGAGACACACGGCGGGUGCUAACGUCCGUCGUGAAGAGGGAAACAACCCAGACCGCCAGCUAAGGUCCCAAAGUCAUGGUUAAGUGGGAAACGAUGUGGGAAGGCCCAGACAGCCAGGAUGUUGGCUUAGAAGCAGCCAUCAUUUAAAGAAAGCGUAAUAGCUCACUGGUCGAGUCGGCCUGCGCGGAAGAUGUAACGGGGCUAAACCAUGCACCGAAGCUGCGGCAGCGACGCUGAUGCGUUGUUGGGUAGGGGAGCGUUCUGUAAGCCUGCGAAGGUGUGCUGUGAGGCAUGCUGGAGGUAUCAGAAGUGCGAAUGCUGACAUAAGUAACGAUAAAGCGGGUGAAAAGCCCGCUCGCCGGAAGACCAAGGGUUCCUGUCCAACGUUAAUCGGGGCAGGGUGAGUCGACCCCUAAGGCGAGGCCGAAAGGCGUAGUCGAUGGGAAACAGGUUAAAUUCCUGUACUUGGUGUUACUGCGAAGGGGGGACGGAGAAGGCUAUGUUGGCCGGGCGACGGUUGUCCCGGUUUAAGCGUGUAGGCUGGUUUUCCAGGCAAAUCCGGAAAACUAAGGCUGAGGCGUGAUGACGAGGCACUACGGUGCUGAAGCAACAAAUGCCCUGCUUCCAGGAAAAGCCUCUAAGCAUCAGGUAACAUCAAAUCGUACCCCAAACCGACACAGGUGGUCAGGUAGAGAAUACCAAGGCGCUUGAGAGAACUCGGGUGAAGGAACUAGGCAAAAUGGUGCCGUAACUUCGGGAGAAGGCACGCUGAUAUGUAGGUGAAGUCCCUCGCGGAUGGAGCUGAAAUCAGUCGAAGAUACCAGCUGGCUGCAACUGUUUAUUAAAAACACAGCACUGUGCAAACACGAAAGUGGACGUAUACGGUGUGACGCCUGCCCGGUGCCGGAAGGUUAAUUGAUGGGGUUAGCGCAAGCGAAGCUCUUGAUCGAAGCCCCGGUAAACGGCGGCCGUAACUAUAACGGUCCUAAGGUAGCGAAAUUCCUUGUCGGGUAAGUUCCGACCUGCACGAAUGGCGUAAUGAUGGCCAGGCUGUCUCCACCCGAGACUCAGUGAAAUUGAACUCGCUGUGAAGAUGCAGUGUACCCGCGGCAAGACGGAAAGACCCCGUGAACCUUUACUAUAGCUUGACACUGAACAUUGAGCCUUGAUGUGUAGGAUAGGUGGAGGCUUUGAAGUGUGGACGCCAGUCUGCAUGGAGCCGACCUUGAAAUACCACCCUUUAAUGUUUGAUGUUCUAACGUGGACCCGUAAUCCGGGUUGCGGACAGUGUCUGGUGGGUAGUUUGACUGGGGCGGUCUCCUCCUAAAGAGUAACGGAGGAGCACGAAGGUUGGCUAAUCCUGGUCGGACAUCAGGAGGUUAGUGCAAUGGCAUAAGCCAGCUUGACUGCGAGCGUGACGGCGCGAGCAGGUGCGAAAGCAGGUCAUAGUGAUCCGGUGGUUCUGAAUGGAAGGGCCAUCGCUCAACGGAUAAAAGGUACUCCGGGGAUAACAGGCUGAUACCGCCCAAGAGUUCAUAUCGACGGCGGUGUUUGGCACCUCGAUGUCGGCUCAUCACAUCCUGGGGCUGAAGUAGGUCCCAAGGGUAUGGCUGUUCGCCAUUUAAAGUGGUACGCGAGCUGGGUUUAGAACGUCGUGAGACAGUUCGGUCCCUAUCUGCCGUGGGCGCUGGAGAACUGAGGGGGGCUGCUCCUAGUACGAGAGGACCGGAGUGGACGCAUCACUGGUGUUCGGGUUGUCAUGCCAAUGGCACUGCCCGGUAGCUAAAUGCGGAAGAGAUAAGUGCUGAAAGCAUCUAAGCACGAAACUUGCCCCGAGAUGAGUUCUCCCUGACUCCUUGAGAGUCCUGAAGGAACGUUGAAGACGACGACGUUGAUAGGCCGGGUGUGUAAGCGCAGCGAUGCGUUGAGCUAACCGGUACUAAUGAACCGUGAGGCUUAACCUU
rnacentral:rRNA from 1 species